GUGAGUUGGAAUAUAAAUUCUGCUGACUCCGUGAGGGGGGCCAGUGCUCAUAUCAUGAGUGAAUACGUGGGUGCUCAUUUUAUGUAACUCAGAUGAGUUCAGCUUGGUAGCCUCAGAAAAUACAGAAGUUGGACAGCUUUCUGCUGAGACUCAACCUCUGCACAAGGCCUGUCAUUCUGCAAAACCUCAAGUGCUGCCCAGGCCUCCUUGACUGUCACCCGCAACCUGUGCAGCCAGAGCCCGCACACAGCUUUGGAGAUGCACUUGAAGCCCAACACCAGACCGUCCCAUGCUUACAAAUAUACUUGCAGAAGGAAAUCAUUAUAAGGAGAAGCUCACAAAGAAGACAGCAUGGUGCUUAUCAAUACCUGAGAUUAUGUUAUACCUCUCCCCGCUUGUUUAUGUUCUCUUUCCUUCACCCAUCCACACACAUAAGAUUUGGCC
rnacentral:lncRNA from 1 species